rnacentral:rRNA from 1 species
GACGAACGCUGGCGGCGUGCCUAAUACAUGCAAGUCGAGCGGAGUUAGGAUGGAAGCUUGCUCUCGGAUUAACUUAGCGGCGGACGGGUGAGUAACACGUAGGCAACCUGCCCCUCAGACUGGGAUAACUACCGGAAACGGUAGCUAAUACCGGAUAAUUCCUUCCUUCGCCUGAAGAAAGGAUGAAAGACGGAGCAAUCUGUUACUGGGGGAUGGGCCUGCGGCGCAUUAGCUGGUUGGUAAGGUAACGGCUUACCAAGGCGACGAUGCGUAGCCGACCUGAGAGGGUGAACGGCCACACUGGGACUGAGACACGGCCCAGACUCCUACGGGAGGCAGCAGUAGGGAAUCUUCCGCAAUGGGCGAAAGCCUGACGGAGCAACGCCGCGUGAGUGAUGAAGGUUUUCGGAUCGUAAAGCUCUGUUGCCAGGGAAGAACGUUCUCUAGAGUAACUGCUAGAGAAGUGACGGUACCUGAGAAGAAAGCCCCGGCUAACUACGUG